rnacentral:rRNA from 1 species
UACAGAGACUGCAAGCGUUAUUCGGAUUCACUGGGCGUAAAGGGCGCGUAGGCGGCCAUCUAAGUCAGACGUGAAAUCCCCCGGCUUAACCUGGGAACUGCGUCUGAUACUGGACGGCUUGAGUAUGGGAGAGGGAUGUAGAAUUCCAGGUGUAGCGGUGAAAUGCGUAGAUAUCUGGAGGAAUACCGGUGGCGAAGGCGGCAUCCUGGACCAUUACUGACGCUGAGGCGCGAAAGCUAGGGGAGCAAACGGG